rnacentral:rRNA from 1 species
CGUACACUCCUACGGGAGGCAGCAGUAGGGAAUCUUCGGCAAUGGGGGCAACCCUGACCGAGCAACGCCGCGUGAGUGAAGAAGGUUUUCGGAUCGUAAAGCUCUGUUGUAAGUCAAGAACGAGUGUGAGAGUGGAAAGUUCACACUGUGACGGUAGCUUACCAGAAAGGGACGGCUAACUACGUGCCAGCAGCCGCGGUAAUACGUAGGUCCCGAGCGUUGUCCGGAUUUAUUGGGCGUAAAGCGAGCGCAGGCGGUUUGAUAAGUCUGAAGUUAAAGGCUGUGGCUCAACCAUAGUUCGCUUUGGAAACUGUCAAACUUGAGUGCAGAAGGGGGGAGUGGAAUUCCAUGUGUAGCGGUGAAAUGCGUAGAUAUAUGGAGGAACACCGGUGGCGAAAGCGGCUCUCUGGUCUGUAACUGACGCUGAGGCUCGAAAGCGUGGGGAGCGAACAGGAUUAGAUACCCUGGUAGUCCC